rnacentral:rRNA from 1 species
GAUUAACGCUGGCGGGAUGCAUAACACAUGCAAGUCGACUGCAUUUAGUUGCAGGGCGGACGGCUGAGUAACACGUUGGUACCUGCCCCGAACUCAGGGAUAACCCGAGGAAACUCGGAAUAAUACCGGAUAUCCCAGUAAUGGGAAAGCUUCGGCGGUUCGGGAGGGACCUGCGGCCUAUCAGCUUGUUGGUAAGGUAACGGCUUACCAAGACUAUGACGGGUACCUGGUGUGAGAGCACGACCGGGCAGAAUGGGACUGAGACACGGCCCAU